UAAUACGUAGGGUGCAAGCGUUGUCCGGAAUUACUGGGCGUAAAGCGCACGUAGGCGGCUUUGCAAGUUAGAGGUGAAAGCCCGGGGCUCAACUCCGGAAUUGCCUUUAAAACUGCAUCGCUAGAAUUGUGGAGAGGUAAGUGGAAUUCCGAGUGUAGAGGUGAAAUUCGUAGAUAUUCGGAAGAACACCAGUGGCGAAGGCGACUUACUGGACACAUAUUGACGCUGAGGUGCGAAAGCGUGGGGAGCAAACA
rnacentral:rRNA from 1 species